rnacentral:rRNA from 1 species
CCCUUAGAUGUUCUGGGCCGCACGCGCGCUACACUGAUGAAUUCAACGAGCUCACAACCUUGACCGAAAGGCCCGGGUAAACUCCGAAAUUUCAUCGUGAUGGGGAUAGACUAUUGCAAUUAUUAGUCUUCAACGAGGAAUUCCUAGUAAGCGCGAUUCAUCAGAUCGCGUUGAUUACGUCCCUGCCCUUUGUACACACCGCCCGUCGCUCCUACCGAUUGAAUGAUCCGGUGAAAUCUUCGGAUUGCUGGCAGUGGCUUCGCAAGUUGCCAUUGCUGCGAAAAGUUGAUUAAACCUUAUCAUUUAGAGGAAGGAGAAGUCGUAACA